GUCUACGGCCAUAUCACGUUGAAAACACCGGUUCUCGUCCGAGAUCACCGAAGUUAAGCAACGUCGAGCCCGGUUAGUACUUGGAUGGGUGACCGCCUGGGAAUACCGGGUGCUGUAGGCU
rnacentral:rRNA from 1 species